GUAGUCCACGCCGUAAACGAUGAUAACUAGCUGUCCGGGCUCAUAGAGCUUGGGUGGCGCAGCUAACGCAUUAAGUUAUCCGCCUGGGGAGUACGGUCGCAAGAUUAAAACUCAAAGGAAUUGACGGGGGCCUGCACAAGCGGUGGAGCAGUUGGUUUAAUUCGGAGCCAAGGGCCGGACCUACCGAGCGUUGACAUCCUGAUCGCGGAUUAGAGAGAUCUUUUCCUUCAGUUCGGCUGGAUCAGGGUUGGAANGCAANGGGGGUGCUGCAUGGCUGUCGUCAGCUCGUGUCGUGAGAUGUUGGGUUAAGUCCCGCACGAGCGCACCUCAUCCUAGUUGCCAUCAUUCAGUUGGGCACUUAAGGAAACUGCCGGUGAUAAGCCGGAGGAAGGUGGGGAUGACGUCAAGUCCUCAUGGCCCUUACGCGCUGGGCUACACACGUGCUACAAUGGCGGUGACAGUGGGCAGCAACCUCGCGAGAGGUAGCUAAUCUCCAAAAGCCGUCUCAGUUCGGAUUGUUCUCUGCAACUCGAGAGCAUGAAGGCGGAAUCGCUAGUA
rnacentral:rRNA from 1 species